rnacentral:misc_RNA from 1 species
AUAAUCCGAGAAUUUCACCUCCAACAACGGAAUACGAAUACCCCCAACUGUCCCUAUUAAUCAUUACUUCGUAACGCAAACCAACAAAAUAGUUCCGAAGUCCUAUCUUAUUAUUCCAUGCUAAUAUAUUCAACGGCAUAAGCCUGCUUUAAACACUCUAAUUUUUUCACAGUAAACGACGGGUAUCCCCUGCCCGACAACUUAAUGCCAAACAGGAUCUCCCCGAGGAUGGCCAGAGACAACACAAGUUCACGCACAGAGUGCGUGACCGGUCGCUCCUGCCAGAAAUCCAACUACGAGCUUUUUAACUGCAACAACUUAAAUAUACGCUAUUGGAGCUGGAAUUACCGCC